rnacentral:lncRNA from 1 species
GCCGUCCCCGCGCGCGCGCGCGCCGCAUCCGGGGUACCGCGCGCCGCCGCCGCGCCGCCCCCCAUUGGCCCGAGCGCUCGCGCCGCCGCCGCCGCCUCUCAUUGGUCGGAGCGUUUCCCGCCGCCGCCGCCGCCGCCGCCGCCGCCUCCGAUCCCAUCCCGGGAUGGCCGUAUGGGAUCACCGCCUCCCACCGCUGCUGUGACCACAGCCAUGAACCACCGCCGCGCCGGGGACCGUCACCGCCGGGCAACGCCGCCCGGUCAGCGGCCCCCGGCGCGACAGCCAUGAACCCCCCCGCCCCCCCCCCACCACCCCCA